CUCCAACAAUUCCUCCCGGUGGGGGGAUUGCGCGCCGGCGCAGCGGGGACCCAACUUGGCCAGCGCG
rnacentral:SRP_RNA from 12 species